AUGGCGCAACGAAGUCCCGGUCCAGCUCACCGCACUGUGACCGACCUAAGCGUGAGGCCCAGCUGCCUGGUUAGCCCUGUUGCAGUGCGAGCAAACGGAAAUACGCAUGAGAAUGCAGAAAAGGGCGCGAGAAGAGGCAGGUGGACGUUUUGGCGUCAGGAGCUGAGGAGGCAAUCUUGUGUCUCAAUCGUGGCUUCUCAAGCUGCUACUGUUGCCCUCCACUACAAGGCCUCCAAACCGGAGCAGCAGACCACCUGUGCCGCGGAGGAGACAUCCAUGCGAUGGAGAGGGAUGGGGUGGAGGCCGGCGGAGGAGGGGUCUUCUUCAGGGACGUCGUCGACGCAGAUCACCUGCGCCGGUGGAAACCGACGUUGUCGACGCAGAGCUCAACCUCCAUACUGGGGCAGCAGAACUCCCACGCAGAGGACACAUGGGAGAGGAAUGGCGAGGAGGGCGGCGUCGGAGUGGUCUUCUUCAGGACCAACUCCACUUGCGCUAGCGCCGGCCGAGGCGACGACUAGCGGCGAGCGGUGGUCAGCUAUGGAGGCGGAGCGUUGUUUAUCCCCUGCACUUGCUCCAAACAGGGGGUGCGGGGACGUGGUGGCGACGAGGAUGGACGUGAGGUGGUGCGGCGACUCGAUGCACCGGUCCUGCCCGGCUCGGCAUUUGGCCAAGCAGGUGGCGGGCGGCGUGCUGGCUGGCCUUGGGCCAGGCCAGGCGCAGUGGGGCCAGCGUGUCGCUGCGGCCCAGGAAGGAAGGAGGUGGGAAGCUGGGCCGGCCUAGAGAGGGAGGA
rnacentral:lncRNA from 1 species